UGCAGCCAAUGCAGCAACAUGGCUGAUGUUUGAUGGGUGCUGUGAGGCUCCUGCUCACCACCUGCUCUAUCACUACCCAGUACAGAGACAAAAAGUAGUUUGACAUUCAGUAGAAACCAUUUGGCUUAGGAAGAAAAGUGAAAGAAGUCCCAUCUCCAAAUAAAAUUAUCUCUGUACGCUACAUGGCUCUCUAAAAGCCUUAGAGAUCAUCACACCCUUGUUAUCAUAGCAGGAAAACAACCAUGCAAACAACAGUGAGCACUGAAAUAUUUGUGUGUCUGCUAUUGCUGAUCUGCUGAAUAGACAUGAUGGGAUAUGAUGAGAGAGUCAAAAUUCUUACAUAUGGGGGUGAGACAAAGAAGAAAAGGAGCUCCUUUGACUCUCUACUUGUCCAUGAUGGUCUUCAGGAUACGGGGAAUGUUACCUCUGUUGCAAACACGAAGCAGACAAAGCGCACCGAAAGAAAGUGGAAGAACUUCACUUACAAGAAGUAUUUUAAGUAAAAUUUAUACAGAAGGGUAAUGGCCCUAGAUUUUAGGAGAUCCUUUAUUCUUGCAAGCUUAAAACUCCAAGCGAGCUGAACUCUUGUGAUGGUAGAGGUUAGAGGAGACUGGUUCAGAGUGCAUUAUCUUGUAAGCAGUUUAGUGAUUUUCUCUUUUCUCUAAAAUGGUCAGAAAUCCUUUAUAGUAGGGGUGGUGAUAUCCCAUGCUAUAUGAUAUUGUUCUGCCUGUGCUUCUUUCUCCCUCCUGCCCAAUAUGUGUGUGUGUGUUUGGAUAAAAAGUCAGUGAGAGUC